UACGUAGGGUCCGAGCGUUGUCCGGAAUUAUUGGGCGUAAAGGGUUCGUAGGCGGUCUGUUGCGUCGGGAGUGAAAACUUACAGCUUAACUGUGAGCGUGCUUUCGAUACGGGCAGACUUGAGGCAUUCAGGGGAGAACGGAAUUCCUGGUGUAGCGGUGAAAUGCGCAGAUAUCAGGAGGAACACCGGUGGCGAAGGCGGUUCUCUGGGCCUUACCUGACGCUGAGGAGCGAAAGCAUGGGGAGCAAACAGG
rnacentral:rRNA from 1 species